CCUACGGGUGGCAGCAGUGGGGAAUAUUGGGCAAUGGGCGCAAGCCUGACCCAGCAACGCCGCGUGAAGGAAGACUGCUUUCGGGUUGUAAACCUCUUUUAAGAGGGACGAGCAGAAGACGGUAACUCUUGAAUAAUCUACGGCUAACUCCGUGCCCACAGCCGCGGUAAUACGAGGGUGGCAAGGGUUGUCCGGCUUUCCUGGGUUUAAGGGGCGUGCUGCCGGGAAGAAAAGUCAGAUGUGAAAUCCCGCGGCUCAACCGCGGAACUGCAUUUGAAACUGUUUUUCUUGAGAACCGUGGAGGGCAUCGGAAUUCCUGGUGUAGCGGUGAAAUGCGUAGAUAUAAGGAAGAACACCAGUGGCGAAGGCGGAUGACUGGACGGCAACUGACGGUGAGGCGCGAAAGCGUGGGGAGCAAACAGGAUUAGAUACCCAGUAGUC
rnacentral:rRNA from 1 species